UACAGAGGGUGCGAGCGUUAAUCGGAAUUACUGGGCGUAAAGCGCACGUAGUCGGCUUUGUAAGUCUGUCGUGAAAUCCCCGGGCUCAACCUGGGAAUUGCGAUGGAGACUGCAAGGCUAGAAUCUGGCAGAGGGGGGUAGAAUUCCACGUGUAGCAGUGAAAUGCGUAGAGAUGUGGAGGAACACCGAUGGCGAAGGCAGCCCCCUGGGUCAAGAUUGACGCUCAUGCACGAAAGCGUGGGGAGCAAACAGG
rnacentral:rRNA from 1 species